rnacentral:rRNA from 1 species
AGCAGCCGCGGUAAUUCCAGCUCCAAUAGCGUAUAUUAAAGUUGUUGCAGUUAAAAAGCUCGUAGUUGAAUUUCGGGAUCAGUACGCCGGUCGUGCCUUCGGUAUGUACUGGUGUCACUGAUUCCUCCCUUCUGACGAACCGUUAUGCCAUUUAUUUGGUGUGGCGGGGAAUCAGGACUGUUACUUUGAAAAAAUUAGAGUGUUUAAAGCAGGCUCGCGCUUGAAUACAUUAGCAUGGAAUAAUGAAAUAGGACGUUUGAUUCUAUUUUGUUGGUUUCUAGGAUCGACGUAAUGAUUAAUAGGGAUAGUUGGGGGCAUUAGUAUUCAAUUGUCAGAGGUGAAAUUCUUGGAUUUAUUGAAGACUAACUACUGCGAAAGCAUUUGCCAAGGAUGUUUUCAUUAAUCAAGAACGAAAGUUAGGGGAUCGAAGACGAUCAGAUACCGUCGUAG